CAGUCGCCACGGGAAAACGAAGGGGGCUAGCGUUGUUCGGAUUUACUGGGCGUAAAGCGCACGUAGGCGGAUCGAUCAGUCAGGGGUGAAAUCCCAGAGCUCAACUCUGGAACUGCCUUUGAUACUGUCGAUCUGGAGUAUGGAAGAGGUGAGUGGAAUUCCGAGUGUAGAGGUGAAAUUCGUAGAGAUCGGGAGGAACAUCAGUGGCGAAGGCGGCCAUCUGGGGCAACACUGACGCUCAUGCACGAAAGCGUGGGGAGCAAACAGGAUUAGAUACCCGCGUAGUCCCUGUCUCUUAUAC
rnacentral:rRNA from 1 species